GACCUAGCGGCGGACGGGUGAGUAAUGCUUAGGAAUCUGCCUAUAAGUGGGGGACAACAUUCCGAAAGGAAUGCUAAUACCGCAUACGCCCUACGGGGGAAAGCAGGGGAUCUUCGGACCUUGCGCUAAUAGAUGAGCCUAAGUCAGAUUAGCUAGUUGGUGGGGUAAAGGCCUACCAAGGCGACGAUCUGUAGCGGGUCUGAGAGGAUGAUCCGCCACACUGGGACUGAGACACGGCCCAGACUCCUACGGGAGGCAGCAGUGGGGAAUAUUGGACAAUGGGCGAAAGCCUGAUCCAGCCAUGCCGCGUGUGUGAAGAAGGCCUUUUGGUUGUAAAGCACUUUAAGCGAGGAGGAGGCUACUUGGAUUAAUACUCUAGGAUAGUGGACGUUACUCGCAGAAUAAGCACCGGCUAACUCUGUGCCAGCAGCCGCGGUAAUACAGAGGGUGCGAGCGUUAAUCGGAUUUACUGGGCGUAAAGCGUGCGUAGGCGGCUUUUUAAGUCGGAUGUGAAAUCCCUGAGCUUAACUUAGGAAUUGCAUUCGAUACUGGGAAGCUAGAGUAUGGGAGAGGAUGGUAGAAUUCCAGGUGUAGCGGUGAAAUGCGUAGAGAUCUGGAGGAAUACCGAUGGCGAAGGCAGCCAUCUGGCCUAAUACUGACGCUGAGGUACGAAAGCAUGGGGAGCAAACAGGAUUAGAUACCCUGGUAGUCCAUGCCGUAAACGAUGUCUACUAGCCGUUGGGGCCUUUGAGGCUUUAGUGGCGCAGCUAACGCGAUAAGUAGACCGCCUGGGGAGUACGGUCGCAAGACUAAAACUCAAAUGAAUUGACGGGGGCCCGCACAAGCGGUGGAGCAUGUGGUUUAAUUCGAUGC
rnacentral:rRNA from 1 species